rnacentral:tRNA from 1 species
GCGCAGGUGGCGGAAUUUGGUAGACGCGCUGCCUUGAGGUGGCAGUGCCCGUUUAGGGCGUGGAGGUUCAAGUCCUCUCUUGCGCACAA